UGUCGUAAACAAGGUUUCCGUAGGUGAACCUGCGGAAGGAUCAUUAUCGAGUUUUGAACGGGUUGUAGCUGACCUCUUUUUGGGGUAUGUGCACGCCUGGCUCAUCCACUCUCAACCUCUGUGCACUUCAUGUAAGAGAACGGUGUAAGCUGAUUUUGUAAAGAAGUCAGUGACAAGCCUUCUCUUGCGUUUUACCACAAACACUUCAGUUAUAGAAUGUUUACUGUGUAUAACACAAUUAUAUACAACUUUCAGCAACGGAUCUCUUGGCUCUCGCAUCGAUGAAGAACGCAGCGAAAUGCGAUAAGUAAUGUGAAUUGCAGAAUUCAGUGAAUCAUCGAAUCUUUGAACGCACCUUGCACUCCUUGGUAUUCCGAGGAGUAUGCCUGUUUGAGUCUCAUGGUAUUCUCAACCCCUAAAUUUUUCUAGUGAAGAUUUGGUGGGCUUGGACUUGGAGGUUGUGUUGGCUCUCGCUAGUCGACUCCUCUGAAAUACAUUAGUGUGAACCUUACGGAUCGCCUUCAGUGUGAUAAUUAUCUGCGCUGUGGUGGUGAAGUAUUUAUUGUAUUCACGCUUCUAACCGUCUCUCCUUCGAGACAAAUACUUUGACAAUCUGAGCUCAAAUCAGGUAGGAUUACCCGCUGAACUUAAGCAUAUCAAUAAGCGGAGGAAAAGAAACUAACAAGGAUUCCCCUAGUAACU
rnacentral:rRNA from 1 species